rnacentral:tRNA from 1 species
GAGAGUAUAGCUCAGUGGUAGAGUGUGUGCUUAGCAUGCACAAGGUCCUGGGUUCAAUCCUCAGUCCCUCCA